UCUAAGACCUACACUGUAGCUUGCAGCAAAACCUGAUCCUUAACCCACCGACUAAGGCCAGGGAUCAAACCUGCACCUUCACCAAUACUAGUUGGGUUCUUAACUGGCUGAGCUGCAAUGGGAACAACUCCCUAUGAUAUUUAAAUUGUAUGCUAGAACGUAUUUUUUUCUAAAAGCACACAGCUUCCUGAACUUUCAGGCAUCUGCUGACGUUUUAAAGAUUUGUUGAAUUGAGUUCUUGCUGCACACACGAGACUAUGUAAGAUGUUGUGGAGAGUACAAAGAAAUAUUAAAAUAAGGGCUCUGUACUUUAAGAUGCCAGUGAUUUUAGGAGUUCCUGCUCUGGUGCAACUGAAUUGGCGGUGUCUCUGCAGCACCAGGACACAGGUUCAAUCCCUGGCCUGGCACACUGGGUUAAAGGAUCCCACCAUGUUGCCACAGCUACAGCUUAGGUCACAACUGCAGCUUGAAUCUGAUCCCUGGCCCAGGAAUUCCAUAUGCCAUGGGGCAGCCCAAAAAAGAAGGAAAAAAGAAAGAUGCCAGUGAUUUUAAUUGGGAAAAUAAGACCUAAUCAUGUCAAAAGUUAUGUAGGAAAACAGUCAGACCCCAAAUUAAGCAAUUUCCAUUGUCAAAAGAGUGGUGAGAAAGGUACCAAAUACUAAAUUUGGAUAAUGCUGAGUUUUCAAGUAAAUCUGAAUAUAUGGCUUAGAACAUCCAUUUUCCAACAAGGCAGCAUGAAACUCAGUAUCUUAAGCGGUGGAUGGGGUGAAGACUGGUAUCCUAUGACUGGUGCAGAACACAGGCAUUUUAGGAACUGGGGUUUGAGAGUUUUGUGGGCCAAUGUGCUCAGGGUACGUUUCAUGAAGGAGAACCCAGGGGUAGUAGUGGGAGUCUGGGGGCUGUAGGCUAGAGUGGAAGAAGCAGGGCUACCCUGUUGAAAAUAAGCAAGUUGUGUUCUAUAUCCAGGAGCAAAUCUGCCCAGCUGGAGUGGAAGGUGUUUGGGAGGGGUGGCUAAUAAGAGAAAAGAUAGGAAAUUUAUGUUGGGGCCAGCUUGUAACUAGCACGAAAUGGCAGGUAUGGAUUUUAUCUUGCAAGGAGUAGUUACACAGAAUUAUAUAUUUUUUAGCAGAGAAAGCAAUGAUUUGGGAAAAAUUCCCCUGACUCUCAAAGCCUCUUUAAAAAACUUUGACAUUAUUUCACAAGGUUGAACAUUUGUGUACCAAUGACCUAACAUCGCAGUUCUAGAAAUGCACAAAUGCACUUGUGCACUAAGAACUGUUCAUAGCUACAUUACCCAUAAUAGCAAAGCCCUGGAAACAAUCCAAGUUGGUUGGCAGGAGAAGGAGUAAAUAACUGUGGUAUGGCACACAGUGGAAUACUAUGUAACAACAAAAUAACCAAGUUCAUCAACAGGGAUGAAUCUUAGAUUCACAACACAGUGAAAUAGCAGGUACCAGUUGAUAUACACAGUAUCAUACUAUCUUUAUGGAUUCCCUGGAUCAGCAAAAUCAGUGAUAUUCAGGUAUGUAAUAAAACCAUUUUUAUUGAGGUGUGACCAGUUUGUAAGAUUGUGUUAGUUUCAGGUGUACAGCAAUGUGACAUUUCACUUUUUUCCAUUAUAGGUUAUUACAAGCUACUGAAUAUAGUUCCUGGUGCUGUACCGUAAUUCCUUAUUGCUUAUCUAUUUUAUGUAUAGUAGUUUGUAUCUGUUCAUCUCAUUCUCCUAAUUUGUCCCUCCUCCCUUUCCCUUUUAAUAAAUAUGUUCUUAAAAAGUAAAAUAAAAAUACUCAAAACGAAAGAUAGCAGUUAGCUCCAGAUAUAGGCAAGGAACUGACAUAUGUGUUAUGUACACACAGACACAAGCUACUGUUACUGUUCUAGUUGCAGGGCUAGAUGCUUGGUUGGUUAUAUUUAUUAUACAGUUAUGUUUCAUAACUAACAUAAAGUUAACAUGUAAGUCAAAUGCUAUUUUAAAAAUUUUCAUCUGGCAGUAAACAUGCAAGCUGGAUGGAGGAGGAAAAGACUUGAGGCUGGAAAACCAGUUAGGAAGAUGUGCUUACAGAUAGAUAUUUAGGCACGGGAUCAUAAAGGAGGAGGGCACCUAGAACAGUGCUUCUGACUAUAGUUCUAGCUACACAGCCAUUUCCCCUGCCCAAACAAAACUUUCUUUGUUGACAGGAGAGAAAAGCAAAGGUUCUCUGGUGGAAUUUGGGGUUGCUGUAUGCCCCCUUUGAUUUUCUUCAGGGGAACAAGAGUUAUUCUCUACUUCACUAUAAAGGGGCAGUGUAGAUCACAGGAAAUCAUGUGUGUAGAAGGAAUUUGAAGCCAGCUAGUGCAAUUACCCACAUAAUGAGAUCGUCACUGAUAGUAGUGCUGUGUGAGCAGAGUUCCUUUGCACAUGACUGCAUCUGUUUCUUCUAAAACAUUUAGGGCAUUUGCUGUAUACCAGGGCCUCUGGGAACAAAGAUGGUAAGAAAUGAUUUUUGUCCUUGCCUCCAUGGGGAAGAGGAUCAAGCUGUAUAGAUAUAUGUAUUGUACUUGACGGUAUUAUUUAAGAAGUCAUCAAGUAAUUUCUCCAUUUUUUUAAGCAAUAAAGAACACAUACAGUGAGGGCAUUCAGGAAAAUGUGGGUUAGAAGCAUUCGAAGCCAUUCAUAAGUGGCAUCCAGAGCAUGGAGACAAGAAGGAGAAGCUGUCAGUUUUUCACUCAGUGCUAUGAUGAUAACACAGAUUUUUUUGUAGAAGCCUUCAGGCAGGAGUGGAAUUGCUGGAUCAUAUGGUAGUUCUACUGUUAUUUUUUGAGCAGCCUCUGUACUGUUUUCCACCAAUUUACAGUCCCAUCAACAGUGUGCAAGAGUUCGCUUUUCUCCACAUCCUCGCCAACAUUUGCUAUUUGUGUUUUUUUUCUGUCUCACUGAUUUGUCACGCAAUACUCUGAGGCAAGUAUUUUGGAGAUGAAGGAACUGAGACUCAUAUUAAGAAAUAUGCCGCCAUCACCUUUAUAAUAAAUGGUAAAGUCCGGUUCGAACACAGAUCCAGGCAACUGGGAGCUCAGGCUCUCCUUCAACACACAGUCUCCUUUGUGCCCAUAGUCUCGUUGGGUCUCCUGGAUGCAGUACUUAUAGUACUUCUCAAAGACUCUUUCCUCACUUCCCACAGAGCCCACAUUGCCUGAUCCUGAGUUCCUGAGUUGGGUGGGCAGUGAUGCUGGGACAGUUUGGGUCUUUCUUUGUACUCCUCGCACUUCAUACUCUGGCUGACAUGUAGGUGUUCAAUGAAUGUUGAAAUAAAUGACUAAAUGAGAACAAUUAUACUUCCUAGAAUUUUUGAGCCAAGCUUAGCUUUGAAGUUGGAAGGAAGCCAAGAAUUUGUCUCACCCAAACUUGCCAGUCAGAGGAAUUGAGUACACAGGAAACAAGCAUGAUUUGCCCAGUUCCGUGGAGAGAGGCUAAAACACAGUUGUCUUAGUCCAUGACUCUUUCAUGUAACCCCAGAGGCCUAUCUCAAAAGUUUCAAAGGUGAUGCCACUCUUCCAUUUGUAAGUUAUAGAAGAGAAAUACAAAUGUAAAAAUAACAAGGGAUCUGAAUUUCAUAUAACGUAAAGAAAACAUUCCAACGGCAGUGCCUUCAUCACUGACAAUAUUCUUCAUUAUUUCAUUUGAGAAAUCUUCCAUCUGAAGGACUGGAAUCAAAUCUUAGACUCUUCUCAGUUCCCCAAUCAACCAAACAAAUGAAACAUCUGGCACUGAGGGUGGUGAGCUAAGAACCUGGGCUCUGAGCCAGACACUUCACCCAAGGUAUGUGGCCCUGGCACAUGCGCCCAGCCCAAACUAGGUGUUCUCGUACGCAUUUCACAGCUAUGCUGUUACUCUGUAGGGCUGUAUCCUAUUGAUCAGGAAUGAAAAUAAUCCCUACCUCUCUCCUAGCCCCUCCCUCUGGCAGUUCUUUCCAGCCAGACCUGAUCUGCCAAUUGUGCUGUCGCCAACACCUCCCUAGAGCUCACUGGCAGGGCCUGACCCUGACCUUCAUGUUUGCUUCUCCACCACUCAACCCUUAGCCUCUGCACCCUUCUUCCAGGUCACAUUUCAUCUCUGAGGAACUCUGCCCUGUCAUCUCCUUUCCCAGAUGUCCUACAUGGUGCUUCCUGGUUUCAACAGAUUAACCUGUUUGAGUUUCAUCUUUAGAAUCCUUCACUGACUUCUUUCUGUAUAUUUAGUCUCAAAAUGAUAAUCUCAUAAUAUUAGCAUUUUUGUUUUUGUUUAUUUUUACUGCUCUUUUCGCUUUUACAGUGCCAUAGGGCUAACCUGACCUUGAUAUUAACUUUUUAAAAAUUGUAUAAUAUUUGCACUGAAAUUUUUUCUUUCACCAAACUCUUUUCUCACCACCCAUCCCAAAUAAUUUUUUUUUGAAAAGAGUGACAUAUAUUGAAGGAAAUGAAGAAAACGGCAUUUACUUAAUUUACUAUAUAGCCCUAAGAAAAACACCUCAAAACUCUCAACUGCUUAUGAAAUUCAUUUCAGUGUUUAAUAUAGCUUCUUUUGAUUGAAGAAUACAGAUAUUACAUUUAACAGGAUGUUCAUAGUCAGGAAAGUUAUUGGUGCUUGAUAGACAUUUAUAAAUUUUUGUGUGUGUGUGUCUUUUUAGGGCCACACCCAUGGCACAUGGAGGUUUCCAGGCUAGGGGUUGAAUCGGAGCUGUAGCUGCCAGCCUACACCACAG